GCGCCCAUAGCUCAAUUGGUAGAGCAACGCCCUUUUAAGGCGGAGGUUCCUGGAUCAUCCCCAGGUGGGCGCA
rnacentral:tRNA from 1 species